rnacentral:rRNA from 1 species
UAAGGUUAAGUUAAUAAGGGCGCACGGUGGAUGCCUUGGCACUAGAAGCCGAAGAAGGACGUGACUAACGACGAAAUGCUUUGGGGAGCUGUAAGUAAGCGCUGAUCCAGAGAUGUCCGAAUGGGGGAACCCACUAGUUAAUGACUAGUAUCCAUAUCUGUUAAGGAUAUGAGAAGGAAGACGCAGUGAACUGAAACAUCUAAGUAGCUGCAGGAAGAGAAAGCAAAAGCGAUUGCCUUAGUAGCGGCGAGCGAAACGGCAGGAGGGCAAACCGAAGUGUUUACACUUCGGGGUUGUAGGACUGCGAUAUAGGAUUAAUCAUUAUAGAAGAAUUACCUGGGAAGGUAAGCCAAAGAGAGUAACAGCCUCGUAUUUAAAAUGAUAGAUUAACCUUAGCAGUAUCCUGAGUACGGCGAGACACGCGAAAUCUCGUCGGAAUCUGGGAGGACCAUCUCCCAACCCUAAAUACUCUCUAGUGACCGAUAGUGAACCAGUACCGUGAGGGAAAGGUGAAAAGCACCCCGGGAGGGGAGUGAAAUAGAACCUGAAACCGUGUGCCUACAACAAGUUCGAGCCCGUUAAUGGGUGAGAGCGUGCCUUUUGUAGAAUGAACCGGCGAGUUACGAUAUGAUGCGAGGUUAAGUUGAAGAGACGGAGCCGUAGGGAAACCGAGUCUUAAUAGGGCGUCAUAGUAUCAUGUUGUAGACCCGAAACCAUGUGACCUACCCAUGAGCAGGUUGAAGGUGAGGUAAAACUCACUGGAGGACCGAACCAGGGCACGUUGAAAAGUGCUUGGAUGACUUGUGGGUAGCGGAGAAAUUCCAAACGAACUUGGAGAUAGCUGGUUCUCUCCGAAAUAGCUUUAGGGCUAGCGUCGAUGUUAAGUCUCUUGGAGGUAGAGCACUGUUUGGGUGAGGGGUCCAUCCCGGAUUACCAAUCUCAGAUAAACUCCGAAUGCCAACGAGAUAUAAUCGGCAGUCAGACUGCGAGUGCUAAGAUCCGUAGUCGAAAGGGAAACAGCCCAGACCACCAGCUAAGGUCCCAAAAUAUAUGUUAAGUGGAAAAGGAUGUGGGGUUGCACAGACAACUAGGAUGUUAGCUUAGAAGCAGCUAUUCAUUCAAAGAGUGCGUAAUAGCUCACUAGUCGAGUGACCCUGCGCCGAAAAUGUACCGGGGCUAAAACAUAUUACCGAAGCUGUGGAUGACACAAAAGUGUCAUGGUAGGAGAGCGUUCUAUGUGUGAAGAAUGUGUACCGUGAGGAGCGCUGGAACGCAUAGAAGUGAGAAUGCCGGUAUGAGUAGCGCAAGACAGGUGAGAAUCCUGUCCACCGUAAGACUAAGGUUUCCAGGGGAAGGCUCGUCCGCCCUGGGUUAGUCGGGACCUAAGGAGAGACCGAAAGGUGUAUCCGAUGGACAACAGGUUGAUAUUCCUGUACUAGAGUAUAUAGUGAUGGAGGGACGCAGUAGGCUAACUAAACCAGACGAUUGGAAGUGUCUGGUCAAACAGUGAGGUGUGAUAUGAGUCAAAUGCUUAUAUCUUUAACAUUGAGCUGUGACGAGGAGCGAAGUUUAGUAGCGAAGUUAGUGAUGUCACACUGCCAAGAAAAGCUUCUAGCGAUACAUAUACUCUACCCGUACCGCAAACCGACACAGGUAGUCGAGGCGAGUAGCCUCAGGUGAGCGAGAGAACUCUCGUUAAGGAACUCGGCAAAAUGGCCCCGUAACUUCGGGAGAAGGGGCGCUGAUUU